rnacentral:lncRNA from 1 species
GAAUUCUCUGAGAGAGUCGACUCCGCUCUUUCAGGGGACGUCUCCGCUGCCUUAUCACCGAAAAUGACAUCCUCUGGAAAACCCUGAGAGAGCCGACUCCGCUACCUCGGGGACGACUCGGAAAGUCUGCUUUUUACUUGCGGGGACGACUCCGCGUACGGUGGGGACGUCUCGCGCAUAUCUCUUGAAAACUGCCUUUCUGCCGCCACUGAGAGAGUCGACUCCGCUACUGAGAGAGUCGACUCCGCUAUCACGGGGACGGCUCGGCAGGUGCCGGGGACG